AAAGUCGUAACAAGGUUUCCGUAGGUGAACCUGCGGAAGGAUCAUUAACAAAAUAAUCCUAUAAUUCCUUAUACACCCACAUAAAAAAUGUGCAUCAUUUUAUAAUCUCUUUGGUAGGUUUUUUCUUUGAAAUUUUUUAAGUUUUGAAGAGAAACGUAAGUUACUUUUUUUGUUAUGAAAAAAGUAUUCCUACCAAAGUUUUUUUUAUUAUAAACUCUUUAUUAUUGAUUUUUGACUGAUAAUUUUUUUAAACUUUAUAAAAUACAACUUUUAACAAUGGAUCUCUUGGCUCUU
rnacentral:misc_RNA from 1 species